GAUGAACGCUGGCGGCGUGCCUAACACAUGCAAGUCGAGCGAACUUCUUUGGAAGUGAGCGGCGGACGGGUGAGUAACGCGUGGGUAACCUGCCCUAUACACACGGAUAACAUACCGAAAGGUAUGCUAAUACGGGAUAACAUAAGAAAUUCGCAUGUUUUUCUUAUCAAAGCUCCGGCGGUAUAGGAUGGACCCGCGUCUGAUUAGUUAGUUGGUGAGGUAACGGCUCACCAAGGCGACGAUCAGUAGCCGACCUGAGAGGGUGAUCGGCCACAUUGGAACUGAGACACGGUCCAAACUCCUACGGGAGGCAGCAGUGGGGAAUAUUGCACAAUGGGCGAAAGCCUGAUGCAGCAACGCCGCGUGAGCGAUGAAGGCCUUCGGGUCGUAAAGCUCUGUCCUCAAGGAAGAUAAUGACGGUACUUGAGGAGGAAGCCCCGGCUAACUACGUGCCAGCCGCCGCCGUAACAC
rnacentral:rRNA from 1 species